AUGAAGAGGAAGAGAGGCGAGCCUGAGCUGGAGUACGGGGCCUCGUCCGGGGUGGAUGAGAGGUCCAACGAGAGCAGCGACAAGAUGCAGGGCCAGCUCCUAGCCGCUGCGCGCGGCGCCGACGGGGGCAAUGCCAAGUUCGCGUGGUAUGGCGCUCCAUCGGUGGAUGUGGCCGCGACGGCGGUGGAGCACGGGUUCGGCAGGAUGAACAACCGGGUCCUUUUCCAUCGCGCGCACGGCGACGACGUCCACCUCUCGCCGCCUCGGUCUCCUUAUGCCAGCGCAAUGCUAGCAAAUGCAGAUGAGAACGGCGAGGCGCAUAUCAUGUUGUGCCGUGUUCUGUUGGGCCGGCCAGAGGCCAUCCCGGCCGGGUCCUCCAAGCUCCACCCCAGCAGUGACAAUUACGACAGUGCCAUCGACAACAUGCAGAACCCACAGUGGUAUGUUGUUUGGGGCAAGGACAUGAACAUGAGGAUCCUCCCAGAGUACGUCGUCAGCUUCAAGUGUCCCAACCUCCAUCAGAUGCAAGGAUCAUCGGGAGCGAACUCCACGCUAAAGAAGCCUUCGCCGGUGGCUCAUGACAUGUUUCCGACGCUUCUAGCAGAGAUCCAGUGGUUCAUGCCAUCUUCCAAGCUGCAGACAUUGCAGGGAACCUACAAUUGCUUCAAGCCAGCUGCAAUGAAGUCCUCCAUAGAGAAGGGUUUGCAGAAAAUGAUCUUGGCAUCCCAGAUAAGCAGGUCGGGGUCAAAGCCGGUGCCCGGGGGAUUUCAAUGGAUCACCAACACGAGAAACUGA
rnacentral:rRNA from 1 species